rnacentral:rRNA from 1 species
UACGUAGGGUGCAAGCGUUACUCGGAAUUACUGGGCGUAAAGCGUGCGUAGGUGGUGUGGUAAGUCUGGUGUGAAAGCCCUGGGCUCAACCUGGGAACGGCAUUGGAAACUGGCUUACUAGAGUGCGGUAGAGGGGUGUGGAAUUCCCGGUGUAGCAGUGAAAUGCGUAGAUAUCGGGAGGAACAUCUGUGGCGAAGGCGACACCGUGGACCAGCACUGACACUGAGGCACGAAAGCGUGGGGAGCAAACAGG